CGUCCCUGCGACCCCGCCAAGCCCGCGAGCGCCGCUAACCGGCUCGGAGGAUCAAAAAAUCGCGCUGCACCCGGUACGGAGCGCCUACACAGAAACCGGAUUGACUGGGACCAAUACUGGCUCAAGUCGAACAGAAGAGAAAGGAACCUGGGACCCCUGAAAGCUGAGUGCACCCAUGUUUCACUGUGCCUGUUAGAACUGGUACACCAGCCAGGAGCUGCCAUUUCCCCUGUGUUAGAGCCCAAGCUGACCUGGGCAGCCAGGCCAUGGAUCUGAAUUUCCUUUGAUGGCAAGAAAGGCAAGCAGGAAGAAACAAAAUGGAGGUUUUGGUUUGGUUUGGUUUGGGGUUUUGGUUUUUUGGUGGACUUUGGUUUUUUGUUUGUUUUUGUUUUUGUUUUGUUUGUUUUUUGCUUCAUCCAGUCCAACUUCAUACCAUAGGACUCUGGAGCCCUGGGAACCAAGCUGAUCAGGGAUCAAAGCAAAGAGGCCCAAGUCUCCAUUUGAGGGGGUAAGGGAUAAAGGAAGGGGAGCGUUAAAUGUCAAGGAUUCAUUUCAGGAGUAAAAGACUGAGAGAUUCAAGGCAGAGGUUGACUUAGUCAUGAGCAGAAUCUUCCCCGCAGAUGUCCUCAUUCCAAGGUUAUGCCCACGCCUUCACCUUUACUCAUUUCACAUUUGUGACGGACAUGUGGAGGGAAGAUGGUAGAUGUUCAGCCCCAUCUACGUCUCUUCCUUGGAAAUCACUGCCAAACAAUUUCUUGGCCUUUUGGCUAAGAUUAAGGUCAGAAGAUGCCAAGCGCUGGCAGUUCCAACUCUGCGGCAGACGUGGCCCUAAGUGAUUCAGAUGAGCUGACCCAGUUAGCAUCACAUCUAGGGCAGGGGAUGGUGCCGUUGCUGUCUCUGUCCCCCCAGACAAAAAAUGAAGACACAGAGAGCUUCAGUUCCCAUCAAAUCCACAGAGGACACAAAUCCUUGUACCCAUAGGAGCCAGGGUUUGAAUCUGGGCAGCUUGGCUCCAGAAACCAUGUGGUUUUCCUUGGCCAGCUGGCCUGCCUUUCAGCCCAGGGACUAGGUCCUGCCUCGGUUUCAGGCUUCAUUUCCCCUCUCUGGCUUUAUCCUUGUAAGGAUACCUCUCACAAUUCUCACAGUUCUGUUUCCUUACACUGUGCCUUUAAUAACUCAACUUGUGACAUUCUUACAGACACACACAUCCACUGGAUCUAAGACAAAGGACAUUAACGUUGAGCUGUGGUGCCAGUGAUCCACCCUGCUUGGGACUAGAUUCCACUUUAUUAAGAAAGCUGAGGUUAUGGAGUCAUCAUCCUGAUAGCAAACCCCUCCCUAUGUUGGAGCUGUCGCCUUCUGCCCUCUAGUGACAAUCAGAGGUGCAGCAGAGAACAACAGUGAGGAGUGGUUUCCUCACCUCUUGAAAGGAGUUUUGGGGGACAGAGAUUUUUUUUUCCUGCCAGUCUUGCAGUGAAGGGCAGCCAGGGAAGCCUGAUAGCACCCACCACCACACACAUUGCAUACACUUGUGGAUAGGAUUCAUUUCAGCAUGGACUUCUACUUCCCAAUCUUGCCAGGCUCCAUCAGUGGGGAUGGAGAUGGGAGGUGGGGGAAGACCAGGCUCUUCUUUCCUCACAUGCCUGAGAGACUGUCAGCUCUCCAGGACUCUCAGAAGCAGCAUAGGGUGGUGAGAGCCAUAAGUAGAUGUGCUCUACUGUACUCCAUGACAAAUACGCACCAUAUUUCUAAUAGACGUUGUCUUGGAUAGUGCUGACCUCCUAAGGGACAAGUUCUCCCUGUGAUGGUCUAUGCAGUGAGCACACUAUUGUUUGGUAUCCUGUGGUAAAUUUACCAGAGCACAAUCCCAGAAGGAGAUAAAGAGCAAAUUAGGAAAGCUUUGACCUCUGUGUGGUGCAUACAGAUGGUCCAAGUUACCUCUGCCCCCGUCACAUGUCAGGGCCAUGAACUGAAGGACUUUCUAGUGAAAUGUACUCAAAACUUCUAGAUCAUUGUUCAAGUGCUGUCUUCUAAUGUGCCAGGUCCAACAGAACUAUGUGCAGGGGCACUGUGUUGGCUUCAAAACGAAUGGUCACACAGGCUUAUAUAUUUAAAUGUGCAGUCCCCAGUUGGUAGAAAUAUUUAGGAAGGAUUGGGGGGUGUAGCUAAAUUGGAGGAGGUGUGUCACUGGGGUUGGGCUUUGAAGUUUAAAAAGCCCAUGUCAUUCCCAGUUAGCUUUCUCUGCCUCCAGAUGCAAGCUCUCGGCUACUAUCCAGAGGCAUACCUGUCUCUUGCAUUGCUCCCUGCCAUGGUGGUCAUGGACUGGUCCUCUGAAACUGUAGGCCCCUGAUAAACUCUUCCUUCUAUAAGCUGUCUCCUAGUGUCUUAUCCCUGAGGAAGAAAAGUGACUAAGUGCACAGGAUUUGAGGGGGAGAGACAAGAACCUGGCAGGGGAGGAUCAGACCCUAACAUGUUGCUAAAGGAAAGUUCUGGAGACUGAGAGAUCUCUGAAAUGAGUUUGUGAGACCAUUACAGCCCAAAGCCAGGAAGACAGGACCACUUCCCCUCAGGCACUAGCUGCAGAACUAGGUGGCGGUUAGAAACAUGUGUCUGUUUUCGGAGGUCUUAGAGCCACAGCCUGGGCUCUCUCCAGCCUCUCUAACAAGCCAGACUUGACCACUGUCCUCGGUAUGCCGACCGAGGAGGCAGGUACCAGUGAGCAGCAGAGAAAGGAGACUUAUCCUGUGUGGGAAGGGGAACAAAAUGGUGAGGUCCAACAACCCACAAGUCCCUCUCUCAGCAGACAGACAUGAGGUUUACGUUUCAGUGGAGGGCAAUUGCUAAGUAGCUCUGGAGAAAGUGUGGUCCACCAUCACUGAGCCUUCUUCACUGUCUCAGCUCCGAUCUUGCCUGCAAGGUGGUCUGGCAGGCUGUCAGAACUGUGUGAAGUCGCUUUCUGGGCGACAAGCUCCCACUCUGGUCGGCAUCAGUUUCAGCCAUUGCCCUUCCAAGUGUGAGAUUCUUCCAAGAAAACCUUUUUUUUUUUUUUUUUUUUUUUGGAGUCUGUUGUCUUAGGACUCCGAUGGCCAAAGUGAGGGGCAGAAGUAUGUCUUGAGAUCUUCUCUCUUACUAGGAUGGCUACCCCAGAUAUUUGAUCAUGAGAACCCGGGUGCUGGUGAGAUGAUUCAGUGGGUAAAGGCACUCACUGCCAAGACCAAUGACCUGAGUUGGAUCAAUUUGAUCCUUGGGAUCCACAUGGUGGAAAGAAGGAACAAAUCCACACAAGUUGUCCUCUAACCUCUCCAUGUGCACUUUAGCAUGUGCUCACAUGAGUACACACACACACACACACACACACACACACACACACACACACACACAAAUGCAAUAAAAACUUUUUUUUUUCUUUUUUUCGGGGCUGGGGAUUGAACCCAGGACCUUGCGCUUCCUAGGCAAGCGCUCUACCACUGAGCCAAAUCCCCAACCCCCAAUACAACAAAUACAAUAAAAACUUUUUUUUUCUUUUUUUCGGGGCUGGGGAUUGAACCCAGGACCUUGCGCUUCCUAGGCAAGCGCUCUACCACUGAGCCAAAUCCCCAACCCCCAAUAAAAACUUUUAAAGGAAAGAAAAACUUGGGGAAGAAAGGCUAAAUUGAGAUUGGGCACAUUUUAGGGACUGGAGGAAGGUGUCCUAUAAGGGGAUGGUACCCUAGUGGUCAUCCUCUUGGGAGUUUUGUCUGCUGCCUAAAACUGUUAGCUGGUUUCUCUUGCUCUACCCUCUGGCCUGUGACUGACUUUAAGACAUUGUACACUUUUCUAUUAUACACACACACACACACACACACAGAGAGAGAGAGAGAGAGAGAGAGACAGAGACAGAGACAGAGACAGAGACAGAGACAAAGAGACAGAGACAGAGAGGCACACCAGUGGUGGGGGCAGCCCGGCUGGUACAGGCAUAGAGCACUCCUCUUGAGGAAACCUCCCCAGUCAGGCUGGCAGAGCCAUUCCCCUUUAUUCCCCUUUAUUCAAGCAGCUCCAGGCAUCUCCCUGACAGGAAGGAACUCAGCCUGAGAAGAAAAGGGUUGGAUCCUUUCUCAUGAAAAGAAAGAAGAGGGAGUGUUGAGCAGAGUGGAGGAUGGAGACCUUGCAAGUCUGCCUUCUGCCUUUCUAGUGCUGUCCAGAGUCAGUCCACACAUGACAUACUGCUGACGACAUGAGGUAGAUCAAGCCGGCUUUGAACUCACAGAGAUCCACCUUUCUUCAACUCCUGGCUGCUGGGACAAGAAAUGUGUGCCACCAUGCCUACUCCAGUCACAUUAAUAACCACCGAAAUAAAUACAGUAAUACAGUG